UGAUUUAAAACUUUUGCUAGAACUUGUUGCGUAAAUAUCUGCCGUUGCUGAAAGCAAGUGUUGCAUGCAUCUGUAACCUUCUUGAGGGGAAUCCCAUCUUUGUCAGGAUCAAUGCCAUGGAUAGCAAUCAACACUUCAGCUGGAGUAAGACCUGCACCACCCUCAGAUGAUUCCUGCGUACGGGCAAGUGCAGCCUGAAACUUAUCUAGUGGAAGAUUUACAAAACAGGAAAACAUCU
rnacentral:lncRNA from 1 species